rnacentral:rRNA from 1 species
AUUGAACGCUGGCGGCAGGCCUAACACAUGCAAGUCGAGCGAGCGGCGGACGGGUGAGUAAUGUCUGGGAAACUGCCUGAUGGAGGGGGAUAACUACUGGAAACGGUAGCUAAUACCGCAUACCAUCAGAUGUGCCCAGAUGGGAUUAGCUAGGAGGUGGGGUAACGGCUCACCUAGGCGACGAUCCCUAGCUGGUCUGAGAGGAUGACCAGCGACACUGGAACGUGGACACGGUCCAGACGCCUACGCGAGGCAGCAGUUGGGAAUAUUGCACAGUGGGCGCAAGCCGUAUGCAGCCAUGCCGCGUGUGUGAAAAAGGCCUUCGGGUUGUAAAGCACUUUCAGCGGGGAGGCGUUACCCGCAGAAGAAGCACCGGCUAACUCCGUGCCAGCAGCCGCGGUAAUAC